UACGUAGGGGGCUAGCGUUGUCCGGAAUCAUUGGGCGUAAAGCGCGUGUAGGCGGUCCGGUAAGUCCGCUGUGAAAGUCGGGGGCUCAACCCUCGAAUGCCGGUGGAUACUGUCGGGCUAGAGUGCGGAAGAGGCGAGUGGAAUUCCUGGUGUAGCGGUGAAAUGCGCAGAUAUCAGGAGGAACACCAAUUGCGAAGGCAGCUCGCUGGGACGUAACUGACGCUGAGGCGCGAAAGCCAGGGGAGCAAACGGG
rnacentral:rRNA from 1 species